CCAGAGCACGAGGCGAACAGGAGCAGCGAGAUCUUUGCCAGCUUUUCUGCAAAAGGAGAUCUCAACCCCAACACCAGCUUGAGGACUUGGAUACCAGACCAACGUCUCAAGCAGGUAAACGUACGGUCACCCUUCAUUCAUACUUGCUAUAUAUGUCAUGGAGUUGCUGGUGAUUUCCGGUCCAUUAAAGAGCAGCUCAGCUUCCACUAGGUGAAGAGAGGUGUUGCAAGACAAGGCUGAUCCAUCCUUCCUCUCCACUGAAAUUUAAAACCUGAGUGGGUUUACUGCUUUUAGGGAUAACAGUCUAGUUGCAAAAAAAAAAAAAAUAUUGGGGGCUAUUUCUUUUCUUCUCUGGGGUGUAAUAUAUGGGAUAAACUAUAUUCUGUGCUUUUAUAAUUUAAGCAAAUAAAGACUACCUUUAGUAAA